rnacentral:rRNA from 1 species
UACGUAGGUGGCAAGCGUUAAUCGGAAUUACUGGGCGUAAAGCGCACGCAGGCGGUCUGUCAAGUCGGAUGUGAAAUCCCCGGGCUCAACCUGGGAACUGCAUCCGAAACUGGCAGGCUUGAGUCUCGUAGAGGGAGGUAGAAUUCCAGGUGUAGCGGUGAAAUGCGUAGAGAUCUGGAGGAAUACCGGUGGCGAAGGCGGCCUCCUGGACGAAGACUGACGCUCAGGUGCGAAAGCGUGGGGAGCAAACAGG